rnacentral:rRNA from 1 species
AGAGGUGGCAAGCGUUGUUCGGAAUUACUGGGCGUAAAGGGCGCGUAGGCGGUUCGAUAAGUCCCGUGUGAAAUCCCUCGGCUCAACUGAGGAACUGCACGGGAAACUGACGGGCUUGAGUUCGGGAGAGGGAAGCGGAAUUCCGGGUGUAGCGGUGAAAUGCGUAGAUAUCCGGGGGAACACCGGUGGCGAAGGCGGCUUCCUGGACCGACACUGACGCUGAGGCGCGAAAGCUAGGGGAGCAAACGGGAUUAGAUACCCCGGUAGUCCUAGCUGUAAACGAUGAGUGCUGGGUGUAGGGGGUAUCUACCCCCCCUGUGCCGAAGCUAACGCAUUAAGCACUCCGCCUGGGGAGUACGGUCGCAAGGCUG